rnacentral:rRNA from 1 species
UGUAUUACCGCGGCUGCUGGCANGUAGUUANCCGUGACUUUCUGGUUGAUNACCGUCAAAUAAAGACCAGUUACUGCCUCUAUCCUUCUUCACCAACAACAGAGCUUUACGAUCCGAAAACCUUCUUCACUCACGCGGCGUUGCUCCAUCAGACNUGCGUCCAUUGUGGAAGAUUCCCCCUACUCCUACGGGAGGCAGCAGUAGGGAAUCUUCCACAAUGGACGCAAGUCUGAUGGAGCAACGCCGCGUGAGUGAAGAAGGUUUUCGGAUCGUAAAGCUCUGUUGUUGGUGAAGAAGGAUAGAGGCAGUAACUGGUCUUUAUUUGACGGUAAUCAACCAGAAAGUCNCG